ACGAGGGUGAAGAGGAAGAAAGCAAGAAGAGACAUGUCUUUUUGUGUUUGGUUCGCAGUGUGUUAAUUGUGAUCAGAUUGUGGUAUGAGUAGGAAAAUGAGUAGGAAUGGUGUGAAAUUGGAGAUGAUGCAUCGAGGUAUUAAGUAGGAGUAUGGUGAAAGUUUAGUGGUGUAAAGAUAAUACAUUUAUAUUGAGUCAUGCAAGCGUAGCUUUUUUUUUUUGGCUUUUGGUUUCUUUUGAAACUAUAUCAUAAUUCUUUUGUGCUAUGAUUUUUAAAGAUUGUUGGUUAGAUGGUUCAUAUUGAACCACUCUUUUCCUGAUUUAUAACUUCAUCGUUUUACAUGUUGCGAGUUUUGUAAUGGUGACUGUAGAUUAGAAAAGUACUUCAACUAUAUAAAAGACUUUUUUGUACAUUGAGUUGAGAAGACUAAUGAAAAUCCUAUAUAUAAUCUUAACUGAACGGGACUCUCUAGGUCGAAAAACAAAGCCCUUUAUUAUGAACUACAAGUUUUGCCCUCAAAUUCAGACAUAAUCUUUUUAAGAAUAUCUUUUAUUUGGUUUUGUGUUUGAAGUUUGUUUAAAUUAUCAGGUUCAGAUAUCACUUUGUUAUUAUUUUGUCUUCUUUCAUUUAUUAAUGCCUUUUCCCAGUAAUAUUUUUUUAUAAUGAAUGUUAAAUAUUUUAAAAGAUGGAAACUCAUAUGUAGCUACUUGUGAAAAUGAUGUCAUCUACGUACACAAGCACCACAACGUAAUCAUCUUUUCUUCUGCGUACAAACAAAGAAUGAUCACCAUGAUCUUUAGUCAAUUCCAAAUCCAAAAGAGCAGAAGAAAACUUUCUAAACCACUGAAACUUGUUUUAACCCACAUAUAGAUUUCUUGAAUCGUAAAACAGCUCUUGGUGAUAGAGUAAUGCCUUUUCUCUCGGCAUCCUUAUGGUAUCUUCAUGAGGAUUUCUUCAUCUAAAUCCGCAUUCAAAAACGCAUUAGAAAUGUCACGUUGAGUAAGAGACCAUUUCUUAGUUGCGGAAACUUUGAGAAGAAGUUUGACUUUUGCCAUUUUAGCUACAUGGGAAAAGAUUUCAUUGUAAUGCUGACUCUCUUUCUGCAUAUAUUCUUGUGUCUCUCAAGAGUUCCAUUAGCGUUGAAUUUUAAAGUAUAAAGACACAUACAACCUGCAUAUUUCUUUACAAUAGGAAGACUAGUAACAUCCCAUAUUUUUGUUGAUUUCAUAGCUUUAAUUUCAACAUCCACUGCUUCACACCAUUUCUUGGAUUUCUGAGCCUCAAAAAAUGAAGUAGGAAUAGAAAUUUAUGUAAGGUUGUUUAUGUAAGAAAGGUAUGAAGGAUAUAGUUUUGAGUAUGAAAUACAAGAUGAAAUAGGAUGGUAUAUGAUGCAGCAUCACAUACGACAUUGGCGCCAACUUAGACUAUUCGAAUAUGUCUAAUUUCCGGUUUUAGUUUUCUUAUCGGUUUUCCUUUUUAUUUAAAUUUCCUUUUACAAUUAAGUCAUUGAUAUCCUUUUCCUAUUAGGGUUUGUCUAAAGGAAGGGAUAUAUAAACAAGUUUAGUCUUCAUUGUUUGGAUACGUUUGAUUUUAUAAUAGAAGAGCUUUGCUUUUAUCUCUUGUUUAGAUUCGAUUAAAUUCAAAACAGGAAGUUGGUCUCAAGAAGCUAUCGAGAGAAACUCUUGAUCGAUCCAAGAACAGGUCUCGAAGAACUCUAAAUUCUUAGAUCGACCGUUCACCCAUUCGUACGCUGUGCCAGGUUGGUAUCAGAGCUCUGCUACGCCCCGAAUCCUUCUCAACCCGCUACAAUGGUUCGUAAGACUCGUGCUCAGCAAUACGCUGAUGACGAAGAUAUCUCGGCUACUCAACAAUCUGUUAUUGAGCUCCAGGAACAGAUUGCAGACCUAGCUACCGCCGUCGCUGCAUUAACCGCACGACAAGCUGCACCUGCACUUCCCUCCGCAACGACCAGAUAUCUAUCCAUGAUAACUCCGACGAAGACGACGAGAAUCCAUUCGCUCCUCUUCGACAACCACAAAAACAUCAACGACCUCGACGCCGCAUCAACAAUAGCUCCGAUUCAGAAGAAGAAGCUAACGAGUCAUCAUGGAAAUCCAGCUUCAAGCUCGAGCUCCCAGUAUUCAAUGGCUCCACGAACGCUGAGGAAUUAUUGGAUUGGUUUGUAACGAUAGAAAAAAUUCUCGAGUUUAGAGAAAUUUCAUUGAACCGCUUUGUACCCCUAGUCGCCAUACGCUUCCGUGACCGAGCAGCCGCUUGGUGGUCACAAGUUAAAACGACAAGAGCACGAUUGGGAAAAUCGAAGAUUACUACUUGGGAUAAGCUUAAACGAGAGAUGCAAAAAAAAAUAUCUCCCGUACAACUAUGAUCAACUUAUGUUUCAGAAAUUUCAGAAUCUACGACAAGGCAUUCGAUCCGUCGACGAGUACGCGACAUAAUUUUUUAGAAUGAUCAACCGUGUGGAGAUUCGUGAUACCGAAGAACAACUAACAAUGCGUUUUGUGGGAGGUCUUGGCCAACAAAUCCAACACACUCUGAACCUGUUUCGUCCACAUUCUAUCUCAGAAGCUCAUCAGCAAGCCCUCACGAUAGAAACUCAGAACCGAACCGGUUCUCAAUCUUGGACGGCUCGAAAAACUCGACAGAAUCAAGCUGUUUCUUCAGCUACCCCCGAUAUUGUGCCUCCUAAGUCAGAAACCGCGAUCGUACCUGUCGACCCUUUGAAACAGCAACGCACGGGUGGCUUACGUUGUUUCUCGUGUGGAGAGACCGGUCACCGUCAAGCUUCUUGCCCACAUUGUAACAAACGUGGACUUCUUAUUGAAGAUAUCACGGGUGAUCAAGAACCGACGAAUGACGACGAAGAAAUAGAAACAGAAGAAGAAUUGUACCCAUCUUCAUGUUUUGUAAACAAAAAAAAAUUAUAUAUUUAAUAGUUAUUUGAUGUUUUUCUCAACAUUAAGCCACACGAAACAGAAACCAGAAAAUCUAGAGUGAGUAAAUACGAAUAAUCCAGCUUUGAUCAUCUUAAAUCUCUUUCAGGCGUUCUUGCUCACAGAGUAACGCUCGGGAACUUGCAGCGAUCAUUUCCUGUGAAAAGGCUUUAUUAUUUACAAUAUAUUCCACAAAUACCCUUACACUGUCACAUGAUCCGUGACUAUACAAAGGUUUAUUUAUAUCCAAUUUUGGAGAAAAAUAAAUAAAUGACUCACCAGGGUUAGUCGUGGUCUCAUGAGCCAAUCCAUUAAAGUAACAUUGGACGUUUUGGCUACGGAACUGAGCCCAGUACGAGUUAAGCGCGUAGCUUGCGUGCGAAUAAACAGAGACCGGCUCGUAACAUUCUCUGCCAGGAGCCAAAGCCGCACACGUCGUGUUGCUUCGGGCACAAGCCAUCCUCAAAGCUUCCUCAAGCUCAGCCUCGUUGGCUCCUUCGACCAGUACGCACCACACUUGACCCUUGUAAGGAACGUUAUUGGUCGGUUUAGGCAGAGGGUUAAAACCGGUUAAGGGUUUUUGACCGGUAAAAUCAAUGUCGUAGAUUGGUGUACCGUCCGGAUGCAAGAUUCCCCAAUGUCUUUGUGUUCCCGAACCGGGUUUCUUGUUUUCGUUAAAUAAGGAGAAAACAAAUGUCGGUAUAGGUGAACCGGGUCUAGCUGGUGUACCGAUUGGUGGAGUUGCGGUCAUCUUCUUGAUCAAAUUCCGGUUAUACGUGGCGGCGUUGAAAACGUUAGCUCCGAUUUCGUCGAUGUCGCCGGAGUUAGGCCAUCCGGUUUCAGAGAUUGCGAUACGGAUGUAUGGAUAACCGAGCUUGGUCAUGGCGAAGAUAACCGAAUCCAACAUUUGGUCUACAAGAUUAUGGUAAACCAAACCGGUAUGAGGAUCGGUAUAAGUUGAGUUUCCUUGAAACAGAGCGAAAUCCAACGUGGUGUGAUUAGGGUUUCUUGACCAACGGAAGUAAGGUUGAAGAUUGAUAAAGAAGUAAGAGUUUGUUCCGUUGAGAAACUUCAGCAACGGCAACAUUAACGGUAAGGCGAUAUCUCCCCGGAAUGUUGAGUUCGACGGCGGAAACGUUGAUCGAAGAGAAUCCAUAGCUAAAGGUGUACCGACUUUGAUGUUGUGAAUCCCAUGGGCUCUGAGAGAGUUCACGAUUUUUCGCAUUGCCGGUACGACAUUGCCGGUUAUGUUCCUAUCUUUGACGGAGAGGAUUUCGUUUCCAACAAGGACAAAUCGUAUUUGUGUUUGUGGGUAGUAAGGGAGGAUAUUGGUUUUGACCCAAUCUUCAGCUGUAGUUUGGUUGGCGCUGAGGGAAGUGAUCUGGUGGGUUGGCACCGCUAUGGUGACGUAGAGAUUGGUUUGAGAGAGGAGUGUUAGACUCUCUGGAUCGGCGUCGUAGAGCUUGACAUGACCGGCUUUGAUGAGUUUGAUGAAAUUGAUCGAUUGGUAAGGAGAUGGUAGGUUGUUUCCUUGUCUACCAUAGUUAAUACCAAUCUUGCUGGCUAACUCUAGCAUCGUUUUUUUCUGUAUAUACCUGUGCGGAUGUUGGAACCCAACCGCUGAGCAACUUGUACCUGUAAAAUCAAGAAAAUUAUGUUCAAUAUGAAUCUAAAAUGUAAGCAUCAUGGUGCACUUUGCAUAUGAUUCUUUGAUGGAGAAGAUGGCUUACUUGAAAAGACGACGAGGGUGAAGAGGAAGAAAGCAAGAAGAGACAUGUCUUUUUGUGUUUGGUUCGCAGUGUGUUAAUUGUGAUCAGAUUGUGGUAUGAGUAGGAAAAUGAGUAGGAAUGGUGUGAAAUUGGAGAUGAUGCAUCGAGGUAUUAAGUAGGAGUAUGGUGAAAGUUUAGUGGUGUAAAGAUAAUACAUUUAUAUUGAGUCAUGCAAGCGUAGCUUUUUUUUUUUGGCUUUUGGUUUCUUUUGAAACUAUAUCAUAAUUCUUUUGUGCUAUGAUUUUUAAAGAUUGUUGGUUAGAUGGUUCAUAUUGAACCACUCUUUUCCUGAUUUAUAACUUCAUCGUUUUACAUGUUGCGAGUUUUGU
rnacentral:lncRNA from 1 species